rnacentral:rRNA from 1 species
UACAGAGGUCUCGAGCGUUGUUCGGAUUCAUUGGGCGUAAAGGGCGCGUAGGCGGCGGGGUAAGUCUGGUGUGAAAUCUAGGAGCUCAACUCCUAAACUGCACUGGAUACUGCUCUGCUAGAGGACUGGAGAGGAGACUGGAAUUCACGGUGUAGCAGUGAAAUGCGUAGAUAUCGUCAGGAAGACCAGUGGCGAAGGCGGGUCUCUGGACAGUUCCUGACGCUGAGGCGCGAAGGCCAGGGGAGCAAACGGG